rnacentral:tRNA from 1 species
AGUGUAAUGGUUAGCACUCUGGACUUUGGAUUCAGUGGUCUGAGUUCAAACCUCAG